GCACCAUGACUCUCAUCACCAUCCUCAUCUGGACGCUGGCCUGCUGCUGUUUUACAGGAUGCAGCGGUCAGGUGACUGUGACUCAGCCUCCAGUAGUGACACCGACUGCAGGAUCCACUGUCACUCUCACCUGUAAAACAAACAAACCUGUUUACAGAUGGUCAAAUGGCUAUGAGGGUCUGCACUGGUAUCAACAGAAAUCUGGACAGCCUCCAAAGCUCCUAAUACGACUUGUCAGCACACGACAUUCAGGAACACCAGCUCGGUUUAGUGGCCGUGGAAGCAGCUCUGACUUCACUUUGACCAUCAGUGGAGUUCUGACUGAAGAUGCAGCAGUUUAUUACUGUCUGCCACACCUGUCUCUGGUUCCUGGAUCAGCAACACCUGAACUUCAUCAGAUCGUCAGUGGAGCUGCAGAGCAACCCUCAGAGACCUCGUUCUGUGCCAUGUGACCACAGAGCUGUCUGUCUGGAUUGGUGCUGUUGUUGGCUUUCCAUUCAUUUUGCUGACUUUUCCCCUCUUCUGAGGACAGUUAGUGAGCUGUGAAUUGUGUUUUUUGUUUUGAGGCCAGUUGAUUUUUCUAUUUUCCAGUUAGUGUGGCUUGUUGUUUAUUUUGGCCUUGGAGACCCUGAAACCUUUUACUUCCACUUCUGUGACGUGAGUUGGUGUUCCUCUGUUGAUCAUUGCCUUUCUGUCAAUUAAUGUCAUUCAUUGUCCAUCUUAUAGUGUUUCAGAAAAGUUGUUUGGUUGAACUUGUUAUUUUCUUCCUUGUGGUCCCCUUUGAACAAACAAGGCUGGAAAAAAACUUUGAUUCCUGAUUGGUCACACUCUUUGAAAGUCCUCAUUUGCAAAAUAGACAAUUUGACCAAUAAUCAAACAAAUGAAUUGCAUGUAAAAUACAGAAAUA